rnacentral:lncRNA from 1 species
UGACUUGUGAGCGAAAGUAUUUCGAUUAGGUUUAUGAUAACUCUAAAAAGUUAGAGUUCGAUCGGAGUGUAUGGCUUCUAACUUCGCGGAGGGUUACGUUGGCGGCCGACAACGUAACAUCGGGAGUUAGUAGUGAAGGACAUUUCCUUACUUUCGCAUGAUUUGGGGUUUUAUCUUCUUGAGCGGGGAUGCGAUAGCGUGUGUUAUUAACUUGCGCUUUUUUGUUUUGUAGUGACGAUGCCGGUUACACGCUCCCAGUCUGCCGGGGCGGAUGAUGCGGCACACCCCGAGGAGGUCGAGACCUCCGCUACUUCCGGAUCCAGUGAGGUCCGUGACUUGAGGGCCCAGCUUGCGGUUCUCACCGAUCUGUUGGCGCAGCAGACGGCAGCGGCGCAGCGACAGGCUGAGGUGGCUCAGCGGCAGGAGUGGCGGAUGAAGCAUCUUGAGGACCUCCUACUUCAGCAGGCGGCAGCUUCGAGGGAGACCCAGGGUCCCACACCACCAGCACCCGUGGUGGACGUUGCACCGAGGGCGCAGUCCCCCACGCCCAGUUCUUCACGUGCGGCACCGGCGAC